ensembl:lncRNA
CACUGGUCCUCGCUCCGCCUUCCGGACACCCUCCCACCAAGGGCCUCGCGCGCUGCGACUGCGCGAUCCCGAGCUCCAGCCCCUGGCGGCGCCUCCGCGGAGCGGGGCAUAGCGGUCCACGUGGCCGGCGAGUGUCCGCCUCGGUGGUCCUCCCCUCCGAUGACCCCGCCUGGUGGUGACAGUCGGCCAGUGGAGCGCCAGCACCCCCACAUUGGUAGUCUUAAUCCUGUUUGACGUGACCCCACGUACCUGAAUUGUGAUGGCGGAAGUGGGGUGUGCACUCCUCAACGAAAGCACGAUGAGCGACAUGCAACGUCUCCAGUGGCCUGUUCUUCAGUCACAAGAAUGAACUGCAUUCUAGAUGGUGGAGCUUCUGCCAGCCUGGGUUAGGGAGUGACCACGUGGAACAAAGAACAUCAGCUCCUCCCCCUGAACUCCCCAACUUCAACCAAAUUGUGAGACAGUGAAUCCCCAAAUGUAUGGUGGUUUUGGGGAGCCCUGAUACUCUCCCUAUAACUAGUCCAACAGUGAGUCUCAUCAAUUCUACUUCUUAAAAUGUUUUUCAAAUUCCUGUGCUUCCU